CCUACGGGAGGCAGCAGUGGGGAAUAUUGGACAAUGGGGGGAAGCCUGAUCCAGCAAUGCCGCGUGAGUGAUGAAGGCCUUAGGGUCGUAAAGCUCUUUUACCAGGGAUGAUAAUGACAGUACCUGGAGAAUAAGCUCCGGCUAACUCCGUGCCAGCAGCCGCGGUAAUACGGAGGGAGCUAGCGUUGUUCGGAAUUACUGGGCGUAAAGCGUGCGUAGGCGGUUAUUCAAGUCAGAGGUGAAAGCCCGGGGCUCAACCCCGGAACGGCCUUUGAAACUAGAUAACUAGAAUCUUGGAGAGGUCAGUGGAAUUCCGAGUGUAGAGGUGAAAUUCGUAGAUAUUCGGAAGAACACCAGUGGCGAAGGCGACUGACUGGACAAGUAUUGACGCUGAGGUACGAAAGCGUGGGGAGCAAACAGGAUUAGAUACCCUGGUAG
rnacentral:rRNA from 1 species